UGCCCCCCUGGCCCCCCAGGUGCCUGGGCCCCUCCAGGGGCAGCUGCCCCGGGCAGGAAGCUGGAGGGAUGCCGGGCAAGGGGGCUGGACCCGUGCCACAGGUGGGGUGGGGUGGACUCUGGGCCAGGGCUGGGCUUGUGGCCAGGGCUGGGGGCUGUGCCAAGCCGGGCUUUGGCCUGGGGGCUGGCAGGGAGGGUGCAGGGAGGAGUCCCGGCAGGGAUAAAGGUGCUCCUCACCUGCUGCAGCCUCACCCAGCGCUGCCCAGAGCGAGAGGAAGAUGAAGGUGGCUGUGCUCAGCGUGGCCCUGCUCUUCUCCAUCCUGCUGUGCUCCCCGGCUCAGGCCCAGACACCCCCGGAAGAAACCCAAGAUGAUCUCCUGGAGGUGGAUUUAGACGAUGUGGACGUGGAUGCGGGUUUGCCUCUGGAAAAGCUGGAGGAACUUCUGCGGAUGAAGCGCGCCGUGGCUGCCUCUCUGAAGGUCUAGGGUCAGAAGGAGCAGUGUCCUUUUCCUCUCCAGUGGCAUGAGGAGAUGAUCAUGCCUGGAGGAACCCCUGACCCUUUGAGCCCGGGCCAUUUCCCCUGAAUAAUCAAGCAUCAAUAAUCAAUAAACCCUUUCAGCAUA